ACCCGCAUGGUGGAAUGGGAAGACACGAUGUUUGCGUAAGCAGUUGCUGGUUCGAGUCCGGCUGCGGGUC
rnacentral:tRNA from 1 species